rnacentral:rRNA from 1 species
UACGGAGGGAGCUAGCGUUAUUCGGAAUUACUGGGCGUAAAGCGUGCGCAGGCGGUUCGCCAAGCUCGAUGUGAAAGCCCCGGGCUUAACCUGGGAAUUGCAUUGAGGACUGGCGUGCUCGAGUGCGGCAGAGGGGGGUGGAAUUCCACGUGUAGCAGUGAAAUGCGUAGAGAUGUGGAGGAACACCGAUGGCGAAGGCAGCCCCCUGGGCCGACACUGACGCUCAUGCACGAAAGCGUGGGGAGCAAACAGG